rnacentral:rRNA from 1 species
UAAGCAUAUCAAUAAGCGGAGGAAAAGAAACCAACAGGGAUUGCCCCAGUAACGGCGAGUGAAGCGGCAAUAGCUCAAAUUUGAAAUCUGGCUCUUUCAGAGUCCGAGUUGUAAUUUGCAGAGGGCGCUUUGGCGUAGGCAGCGGCCUAAGUUCCUUGGAACAGGUCAUCAUAGAGGGUGAGAAUCCCGUAUGUGGCUGAUUGUCUUCACCGUGUAAAGCCCCUUCGACGAGUCGAGUUGUUUGGGAAUGCAGCUCUAAAUGGGAGGUAAAUUUCUUCUAAAGCUAAAUAUUGGCCAGAGACCGAUAGCGCACAAGUAGAGUGAUCGAAAGAUGAAAAGCACUUUGGAAAGAGAGUCAAAAAGCACGUGAAAUUGUUGAAAGGGAAGCGCUUGCAGCCAGACGUGCCCGUAGUUGCUCAUCUGGGGAUCUCCCCAGUGCACUCUUCUACGGGCAGGCCAGCAUCAGUCCGGGCGGUUGGAGAAAGACCUGUGUCAUGUAGCUGUUCUCGGGCAGUGUUAUAGGGCAGGUGGAAUGCGACCAGCCUGGACUGAGGUCCGCGCAUCUGCUAGGAUGCUGGCGUAAUGGCUGUAAGCGGCCCGUCUUGAAACACGGACCAAGGAGUCUAACAUCUAUGCGAGUGUUUGGGUGUCAAGCCCGAGCGCGUAAUGAAAGUGAACGGAGGUGGGAACCUUUGGGUGCACCAUCGACCGAUCCUGAUGUCUUCGGAUGGAUUUGAGUAAGAGCAUAGCUGUUGGGACCCGAAAGAUGGUGAACUAUGCCUGAAUAGGGUGAAGCCAGAGGAAACUCUGGUGGAGGCUCGCAGCGGUUCUGACGUGCAAAUCGAUCGUCAAAUUUGGGCAUAGGGGCGAAAGACUAAUCGAACUAUCUAGUAGCUGGUUCCUGC